AACGAACGCUGGCGGCAUGCCUAACACAUGCAAGUCGAACGAGACCUUCGGGUCUAGUGGCGCACGGGUGCGUAACGCGUGGGAACCUGCCCUUAGGUUCGGAAUAACUCCCCGAAAGGGGUGCUAAUACCGGAUAAUGUCUUCGGACCAAAGAUUUAUCGCCUUUGGAUGGGCCCGCGUUGGAUUAGCUAGUUGGUAGGGUAAAAGCCUACCAAGGCGACGAUCCAUAGCUGGUCUGAGAGGAUGAUCAGCCACACUGGGACUGAGACACGGCCCAGACUCCUACGGGAGGCAGCAGGGGGGAAUAUUGGACAAUGGGCGAAAGCCUGAGCCAGCAAUGCCGCGUGAGUGAUGAAGGCCUUAGGGUUGUAAAGCUCUUUUACCCGGGAUGAUAAUGACAGUACCGGGAGAAUAAGCUCCGGCUAACUCCGUG
rnacentral:rRNA from 1 species